CCUCUUGUUUGUUUAAAUCUUCUUUCUGUGCUUAAUUGAUAAAAGAAAACAUUUAAUUUUAGAACACUCCUCAAAUGGCCAAGGACAAGAAUUAUACCAUGGGACUGUGUAUGCUGCCUGUCGUAUAAUGUAAAUUUUCCUUUACAAAGCUACUAGUCUAGAACAGUAGAAGUGACUUUGGUCCAAAGCAUUGUUAUCUUACAUUAACUCAGUUUUGAGAAAAUGGAGGGCAUGUUUCCUUUCAGCCUUGUAUCAUAGAGAUGAAACUUAGUUUGAAUGAAUGUAAAAGUAUAAUAGGUAAACUUUGUAACCCUUCCAGUGUGUACUGGUUAGGUAAACUGGACUCAAUGAUAGGUACAUGGAGGGUAGCCCUCUGGGGUUAAUAGGACAAGGUAGAUCUUACAGUCUGGAUCAGGGAUCUGUAGAAACACAUUAUAAUGUUUCAGAUCCAAUCUUAAGUGGAAGAUAUGUGAGAAGAGCAAAUUGUGUGGCUUCUACUUAAAAAUAUGAGUGUCACUCAGCUGAUUGAACAUGGUUACACGGCUCAGUUGGAAGAGGUCUGGAUUAUCACACCAGAGGCCUGUGUUGAUGUUUGAUAUAUCUUUUUAUUUAUGCACUUGUCAAAUUUGUUGAGAUUAUUGUGGUAUGGUGCCCACCCACCCGACUAUCUGUCUCUCAGGAGUUAAACUGUUGUUUGUCUGGAGAUCUCCAAAAUGUUUUGAACAAUCUCUUUAAAACUUAGUAUGCAUCAUAAUCGUGAUAUGUACUUGAAAGGUAUGCAUCAUAAUCGUGAUAUGUACUUGAAAGGUAUGCAUCAUAAUCGUGAUAUGUACUUGAAAGGUAUGCAUCAUAAUCGUGAUAUGUACUUGAAAGGAAUUUUGAUUGCAAAAGUUGUUGCCCUUUGUUUAUUUCUAGUGCUUGAAUCUUGUCCUCAGAUCUCCUACAGUUUUCUACCGAGUUCUUUGAAACUAAGCAGGCUUAAAAAUCAAUUUAGCUUGAAGGAUUCCUGAACAAGGGGAUCAGUGUUUUUGUAACAGAGGUCAUUAUAAAUCAUAUUUGUUUCAAUGCCUCUGUUAGGGAUCAAACCAGGGACCUCUGGCUUAUUAGUGAUCAGUUCAACAAAUUGUCCUAAAGAGAAUAGUGCUCUAGUCGAGUGUAUAUUAUUGAGCUAGUAUUUAUCAGGGUUAUAUACCCUGGUAGGAAAGAACUCAUCUGUGAGUUUCCAGGGAUUACAGCAAUGCCAAUGAGGUUUCACUUAGUCCCGAGUCGUGAUAACAAAUGGCAAGGCUAUUGAUAAGUUAUAUAUGUUUCAAUACCUCAGCUAGGGAUUGACCCUGGACAUCUGGCGUAACUGUACUAGUCAUGUGUAAACCAGUUAUACUAAAGAGAAGUUCUGAGCAAUACAUUGAGUCUGUAAACGGGCUACAUUAAAUUAUACAUACUGUAGAAUACAACGUAUUGUGGGACAGAGCUGUGUAGUAAGGAUGUAAAGACUGUCUUACAUAUUUACAUAGCUGUGAUAACGUAGCUCUGGACGAUGGACGGAUAAUUUCUGAUAGAUGGUCAUGCCGGAGAGCAGUGUAGGCAGGGUAUGAAUAUCCAUUCUAAUAUUUUACUACUCUGCAUGUCCAAGGUGGGCGAUGUAAUACCUAAUGUUAGUGAGGUACUUAUUGUAAUCAAUUAUAAUCAUGUACUAAAAGUUGUACCCAUAUCCCAUUAUGGAAACAAAAUGGAUUUAUCGUAUGCGCUGAGAUGAGUCCUAUAUAUAGUCUCUAGCUAACAAGUCUUUAAAGUAUAGAUUUUAUUGAGUGUAAUUAUAAUAGGAUUUCACAUAAAUAUGGUCUGCAUAAUUUUCUGUGGUUGAGUAACCCUGUAACUAUAGGUUAAGGUAUAAACUAUAAUACAAUCAUUUGUGAUACUGGUAUAUAGUGAUUGUGUGGUAAUCAGACGUGUAUACAUUUAAAAUUUUGUACUUGUUAGACUCUCUGGAGUGGAACUUUUAUUUCUUGUUGAUUUAUCUAAUGGUUGGUGUGAUCCGUCUUACACAGAAAUGUCGGGUGUUUUUUAUCACCGAGUCGGUGUUAGUAUAGGUUGUCUGUUGUAUGAAAUAAUGGCUCAGUUACAAAUUGUCUGUUGUAUGAAAUAAUGGCUCAGUUACAGGGAAACUCUGAUUGAUAAAAGUAUUUUAUGUUACAAAUUGUGAUGUAAUCAAUGCUUUACUUAAUUUUGAAUGUUUACUAAUUUUCAUGCCAAAAAUAUAAAGAUAUUUAAUAUUUCUGUAUACUUUAGGCCAGUGAUUUAAACUUACCAUUACAUAUUUAGCAAUGUCACUAAAUAUCUCUGCUGAAUUUAAUUUUGAUUUAUGAGUGCCAAUUUGGCUUACUAUUGUUUAGAUGUAGGAUGUUCCGGGAAUGCUUUACAAAUGUACUUGUUCAGUGACAUAUUUGAGAAUUUUGUGAUAAAAAUUCAAUAGAAAUAAAUUGGAAAAUGAUAGAUUUAGGUAUUGUACUGCCUUCAGUUGUCAUUCAUUACCACAAUGAUUGCUAACUGGACAAAGGUAAAUUCACUAACUUGCUGAGUCAAACCUGAAAAGUGUUUUUGAUUGCUCUAGAAUAGCUUGUUAAAAAUCAAAACCAAAAUAGUGUUUAUAGACUUUAUUUAAUUUAGUUUGCUAAUUGGCUGUGAAUGAAAAUAGAAGAAUGCAGUUUAGUGUUUAGAUAUGACUAUCAAAUUGCGGUUAGCAAGUACAUACAGUUCUAUAUGGAAUUACUUAACAAAAAUUAAAAAAAAAAUAUCUGUAGAAAAUUUUGAUCAUCCUUUUGUUUGUAUGAAUAUUGUUGGAAUCAACAGACUUAUCUAUCUUGUUAUAGUUGAUUGUAUUGUGCCGUAACAGACUUCCUUAUCUAUCUUGUUAUAUUUGAUUGUAUUGUGCCGUUUUAUUUAUACCAUGAUUAUAACUGUAUGAGAAUGAGGUCUAUAUUUCAUACAUUAAAAGCACUUCACAA